GCGGACGUGGUGUAGUUGCAGCGCGCUUCCCUUCCAGGGAAGAGGUCGAGGUUCAAAUCCUCGCGUCCGCUCCA
rnacentral:tRNA from 4 species